ensembl:lncRNA LINC02053 long intergenic non-protein coding RNA 2053
ACCUGGAUCAAUGGGCUGCCCUAAUGAAGGAUAUCAAAAAUGAAGGGGCAGCUAAAGAAAAAUAAAAGACACCUCAGAAAGUAGCCUGCCUCUUUGACAAGGGACAUGCCUUCAGAGGAACAUAACAGAAACCUCUGAGAAUUGUCAACAAUAAAAAGACUGAGCAACAAGGGAAACUGGUAGGAAGCCAAAGGUUUUAAGAGGUGAGAGUGGAGAAAUGCUGUGCUUUUAUUGAUCCUCUCCAAAGGAACACCUUUAAAAAAGGAACACAAGAGCUAAAUGAAUGGAUAUAUUUUUCAAAAUCAAUAAAGAAAAAAUUGCAUAUUUGUAUUAGACUCAAGGAAAGACAUAAUGGCUGUGGAUUUUUAAAGCUCAGGAUGUACACUGUCAGUGCUGCUCAGAUACCAGAAGAAUGGGAGGGCCGUUUCAGAUAAGGUAGUCAGCAAAGUUCUCUCUGAGGUGACAUCCAAGUUGAAGUACAUUAAGAAGGUAGCCAAAUGAUAUUCAGAGGAAGAGCAUUCUAAGCAUAUGGGAAGGAGCAUGCCUGGUGUGUUCAAAAAAAAGCAAGGAGCAGAGUGAGCUAAAGUAAAGAAAUAGAAGAUAACGUGGCCAGAGAAAUAGUGACGGGGCAGAUCAAGGGAGAUUAUGGACCAUGAUAAGAACUUUGAAUGUUAUUUAUUAUUUUAUUAAAUUGUAUUUAUUUAUAAGAACUUUGAAUUUGUUUUUAUUCUGAGUGAAAUGAGAAACCCCUGGAAAAUUCUCAACAAAGAAGUGAUAACAUGUAACUUGACUUUUUACAAACAUUACUCUGGUUGCUAUUUUGAAAAGGGACUUUAGUGCGGGAAAGGACAGAGGCAUGGAGAACAUUUGGUAAGGGGAUCCAAAGAAAAGCAUAUUGGCUUUCUUCUUUCCUCCCAUUGGAUAGAACUCCUGGAGAGCCACUCUUGAAGACUGGGAGUAACCUCAGAGAAGGGGAGAGAAACAUCUCACUUCUCAAGGUGGAACCACAGAAGCAGAGGUCCACCUCAGCACGACCACCAAGGUUGGAACACAGAGAGUGAGUUCAUGGAAACACCUGAUAUGUUACCCUGGAAAUUGAAGGCAUCUGAGAACAGGAAAAUGGAUGCUUGCCUUUCACCUGAAGAUUAUGAAGGUGGCUGGAGCCGCCCAUGGUGGUAGCAAACAGAGGAGGAGGCAAGGGAGAACACUCUAGUUUCCCCAGAGCUGAAGUAACAAUAUGAAUUUCUACAGGCCAAUGCGAGACUACAGAAAGUAACCAGCCUAGAGCUACCCUAUAUAACCUACAUUACUGUCUGGAAUAGAGAAAUCCAAGAGAAACAGAGAGAAGGUGCCCCUCUAGGAGCAGGGGCUGAGUUGGGUCACAGGAAGUCAUCUCUGGAGACACUGGCUGUGCAGUGCCUUCUUUAUUAGGGGCCUCUUAUAGCCCCUUCUUUAUUAGACAGCCUUUACAACCAGAUUACAUGUAAGAUUUCUUACCUUUUUUCUAUAUUCUCCCUUAUUUCACCAUCUACCCUGGAGGAAACAGAUAAAGUAGGAAAGGAGUAAAAAAAAAAAAAAUAAAAAAGAGAUGAUCUAGUAAAAGU